rnacentral:tRNA from 1 species
AAAACUCUAAGUUAAUAAAACUAAAGACCUUCAAAGUCUUAAAUAGGCCACCGGCCUGAGUUUUG